AUACAGAGGGUGCAAGCGUUAUUCGGAAUUACUGGGCGUAAAGCGCGCGUAGGCGGAAGAUUAAGUCAGUUGUGAAAGUCCUGGGCUCAACGUAGGAACUGCAUCUGAUACUGGUCGUCUAGAGUUUAAGAGAGGGAAGUGGAAUUCCAGGUGUAGCAGUGAAAUGCGUAGAUAUCGGGAGGAACAUCAGUGGCGAAGGCGACUUCCUGGCUUAAAACUGACGCUCAGGUGCGAAAGCUUGGGUAGCGAACGGGAUUAGAAACCCUAGUAGUCC
rnacentral:rRNA from 1 species